CAUGUCACUGUAUUACAACCUGGGCUACAGAGCAAGAGGCCAUCUGAAAACAAAACAAAACAAAACAAAACAAAAACAACUCUGAGAAUUCAGAGUUGACUAGAACCUGGGGAAGCCUUCUAGAUUGUUCUCUACAUUUGUAAAAGAAAUAAAUCUUGAAUGUCUCUGCCGAAGGCUUUCAAUAAAUAUUUGUUGAAAAAGAAAGGAAGAAAGAAAAUGAAGAAGGAACGAAGGAGGAAAGGAAAGAAGGAAAGAAGGAAGGAAGGAGUUAAUGAAGACUCAAGGAUGUUCUGCUCUGAUUGGCAGGGAGAGUUUGAAGGUGGGUUGGCAGAGACUGUGACCGCAACUGACUGCGUUCUGCAGAAUUAUGGUAAUGAAAUUGGAAGCCAACUUUCGUGAAGCAGAAAGCCUCAAGUUUCCAGGUGCUGUGCUCAGUCCAGGAAUACAAUGAUGAAUACGAUCAAGGCCCUUUCAGAGCUGACACACACUAUACAUAAUGCAUCAAAAAUUGCGUUCUCGCUAUAUUUCUGUUUAUUUGGUUUUAUCUGCAAGAAUAUAGAUAGCAUCUGCUUUGAUAUAAAACUUUUAUGUGUCUUAUGUAGUUGAUUUGUAAAUGUCCUAUCUAUAAAUAUAAAACAAUAAAUUACUAGUUACAGUUAACUUAGGAAAACUUUUAAUCAUGUCCUACAUUUUACACCUUGUAAUUUCUACCAAAUGUUUGUAUUUUUAUGUCUUAUUAAAUAUAAUAAAUAUUUGUCUUAACAUAUUUUAAUAGAAUUCCUCAUAUGUUUUGCAGAAAGCUAAUUAUGGUUUUC
rnacentral:lncRNA from 1 species